AGGACGAACGCUGGCGGCGUGCUUAACACAUGCAAGUCGAGCGGUAAGGCUCCUUCGGGAGUACACGAGCGGCGAACGGGUGAGUAACACGUGAGCAAUCUGCCCUUCACUUUGGGAUAACUUCCGGAAACGGAAGCUAAUACCGAAUACGACCAUCGCGGACAUCCGCUGAUGGUGGAAAGUUCCGGCGGUGAAGGAUGAGCUCGCGGCCUAUCAGCUUGUUGGUGAGGUAACGGCCCACCAAGGCGACGACGGGUAGCCGGCCUGAGAGGGUGACCGGCCACACUGGGACUGAGACACGGCCCAGACUCCUACGGGAGGCAGCAGUGGGGAAUAUUGGACAAUGGGCGAAAGCCUGAUCCAGCAACGCCGCGUGAGGGGAUGACGGCCUUCGGGUUGUAAACCUCUUUCAGCAGGGACGAAGCGAAAGUGACGGUACCUGCAGAAGAAGCACCGGCCAACUACGCGCCAGCAGCCGCGGUAA
rnacentral:rRNA from 1 species